CUGCAGCUGGACUUGGCAGGGGUGAGAUAAUUAGCCCUUUUGAUGCACAAGCGCCUUCCUUUCUUCUACCUUCCUGUUCUUGACAAAGGCACCCGAAAGCCAGCAAUUCCCUUAUGGAAAGGUAGAUUCAGGAGAUCUGGGCAGGACUGCGUGGCAGCGUCAGCCCUCAAUCCAAUUCCUAGUGAGGUGGCUGUCCUACCGGACUCAAAGAAUGAAACUGCCACCUGGGCUCUGAAGAGAUGCCAGUUCCAGUAGUUCCUCAAGGGUUCAAAGAACUUCAGUGACUGCCACAGGCAAAGUGGAUUCAAAUGCUAAACGGAACCAAGCAGACCGAAGACUGCAGAAAGGAAGGUGAGUCACAUACAUUCAGUUGAAAUCCAGGAGAGAGAAAAACAGCUUCCUUAGAGCAAGAGAGCCCUUCAGCAGUCUGUGUUUGAGUGUCAUCUUGUAACAGAGGCUCCUUUGAAACCUUUGGACUGAAAAUGGAACAUCAACCCUUCUGGGGCUCAGCUUGUUGGCCCACCC
rnacentral:lncRNA from 1 species